UUUAGAGGAAACAGUUUCCCAUUAAAAUGUUAUAAAAACCCUGAUGUCUCUCAGAGCUUUUAUUAGAACAUUUUGGUGCAUUUGUUCUGUUUCUGUGUUGGUCUGUUUGAAGACAUUAAAAGAUGAAUUGUGGUCUGUUGUAUUUGUAGAAUUCAACGAUGUCUCUAACGGUAACUCUGCUUGUGGUGACUUUGGUAUCUCAGUGUUGGACUGCCCCACAGAGAAGAAACUGGACUCCUCAGGCAAUUUUAUACCUGAAAGGAGCACAGGGACACCGCUCUCUGUUGGAACAUAGCAGCAGAGAAGAGAGAGGCAUCUCACGCUCAG